CUCCCCGUCGUCUAAUGGCUAAGACACGACACUUUCAAUGUUGGAAUAGGGGUUCGAUUCCCCUCGGGGGGACCA
rnacentral:tRNA from 1 species